rnacentral:misc_RNA from 1 species
AAAUAUAUUAAUUUAAUUUAAAAUCAAUUUUUAGAUUAAAUAAUAAUUUAUAUUUUAUGUCAGCCUGGGCUUAGUUUAGUGGCCAAGACAUAGCUCACCCUAGUUUGAGCCCCUCUCCCCAACAAUUUAGUAUAUGAAAUUUUAUAAAAUUUAUAAUUUUAUUUCUAUAUUUUCAAAUCUAAACAAUUUAGUUCUUAAUAUUUUAUACAACUCAGUUCCUGCUGUUAGAUUUCUAUUAAGUUGUCGUUAAUAUUAGUAAAAAUAAAAUACCUUUAUCUUUAUUUUUAAAUUGAAAACAAUUUAAUUUCUAAAGUUUUAUUUUGUUAAUAAUAUAAUCCUUGUAUUAUUAAAAUGUGGAUCCUGUUAAUUUAAAAAAUUUUAAGUUUGAAUUAUUAAAAUAUAGAUUAAUUACUUUAGAGUCUUUAAAAAUUU